rnacentral:rRNA from 1 species
AUUGAACGCUGGCGGCAGGCUUAACACAUGCAAGUCGAGCGGAGAGAAGUAGCUUGCUACUGAUCUUAGCGGCGGACGGGUGAGUAAUGCUUAGGAAUCUGCCUAUUAGUGGGGGACAACAUUUCGAAAGGAAUGCUAAUACCGCAUACGUCCUACGGGAGAAAGCAGGGGAUCUUCGGACCUUGCGCUAAUAGAUGAGCCUAAGUCGGAUUAGCUAGUUGGUGGGGUAGAGGCCUACCAAGGCGACGAUCUGUAGCGGGUCUGAGAGGAUGAUCCGCCACACUGGGACUGAGACACGGCCCAGACUCCUACGGGAGGCAGCAGUGGGGAAUAUUGGACAAUGGGCGGAAGCCUGAUCCAGCCAUGCCGCGUGUGUGAAGAAGGCCUUAUGGUUGUAAAGCACUUUAAGCGAGGAGGAGGCUACUUUAGUUAAUACCUAGAGAUAGUGGACGUUGCUCGCAGAAUAAGCACCGGCUAACUCUGUGCCAGCCGCCGCCGUAAUAC